ensembl:snRNA U1 U1 spliceosomal RNA
AUACAAGACCUGGCAGGGGCGACACCAUGAUCAAGAAGAUGGUUCACCCAGGGCUUGGCCAUUGCAGCCGGCUGUGCUGACCCCUGCAAAUUCCCCAAAUGUAGGAAUAUCGACUGCAUAAUUAAUGGAAUUGGGGCAUUGCGUUCACACUCUCCCUUG